ensembl:lncRNA
CGUGGCCGUGGAGCUGCUGGUGGGCCGCAGUGAAAGUGAAGGGAGCAGAAAGUAGUGGUUGGUUGACCACACUGCAACAGUGGAAAAAAAAGAAAAGACACGAGAAGCGGUGCAGCAGCCUUAAGGUCGCAGUUCCAUCGUAGAAAACAUUCACGGUGGUAUUUGGGGUUUGGACGCAGACACCGUAGCGGAGCCUCAAAGGGAAAAUGUCAUAUCAAUUUAAUAAUAAUUAUAAUAAUAAUAAUUGAAUCAAGAUAUCACAGGAGUCCUUCGUUGCUUUGUCUGUGUUAAUUGGCUGGACUCCGUGCCGCGCCGUGCCGUGCCGUGCCAGACUCCCGUGAAGGAUCUUAACCUCCGCACGACCUCUCUUAAGGUGGUCAAGCCCCCCCCCCCCGUGUGGGAGCAGCAGAGCGGGGAGAGAAGUCGUUCCACUCCGGCGCACCGUCCGUCCCGCCGGCGGCGGCCUCCGGAUCCCCGUGCCCUGCGUGCGCGCCGCCGCCGCCUCUGGGCGCGUCUUCGGCGGCUGCGCGCGGCACGGACGACCGGACGAAGAGGCAGUGACACCAGACGUCCCGUGCAAGAAGAAAGGGCGACCGAAGAAGAAGAAGGACACAAAGAAGAAAGACAAAGACGGGAAACCGGUCAAAGCGAGAAAACGCAAGAAGAUUGCCAGCGAUGUAGAGAGAGACUCGGACAGAGAAAGAGACUACGGCGAGAACUCGGACAGCGCGCCCAGCGACUAUGGGUCCGGAGAGAAGAAGAAGAAGAAGAAGCAUAAAGAAAGGAAGGAGAAGAAAACCAAGAAGAAGAAAAAAGUCGACGGGGACCGAGACAGCAGCCAGGAGGAGACGGUCAAGCCGAUAGAGCAGAAGACGUCGGCGCAGCUGGCGAAGGAUUGGGGUCUGGAGGAUGUUGAUCAUACCUUCACGGAGGAAGACUACAGGGAACUCACCAACUACAAAGCCUUCAGCCAGUUCACGAGGUGCCAAAAACAUGGGUUGAAUUAAGGGUGAUUGGUAAUUGGUUGAUUAGGAUCAGAAAACUUGGCAAUUUAUGGAAAAGGGGAGUUGCAUUUCCAAUUCUGUACACACAUUUACUAUGUAC